rnacentral:rRNA from 1 species
UACGUAGGUGGCAAGCGUUGUCCGGAUUUACUGGGCGUAAAGAGCGCGCAGGCGGUCGUAUAAGUCGAAUGUGAAAGCCCCCGGCUCAACUGGGGAGGGUCAUUCGAUACUGUUCGACUCGAAGGCAGGAGAGGGAAGUGGAAUUCCGGGUGUAGUGGUGAAAUGCGUAGAUAUCCGGAGGAACACCAGUGGCGAAGGCGGCCUCCUGGCACGCCCCUGACGCUCAGACGCGAAAGCUAGGGGAGCGAACGGG